GGUUUACACUUGAUCUCUGAACUUCAGGUAAGUUCAUAUGUUGAAAAGUACAUUCACUGAUGCU
rfam:Glycine max cultivar Williams 82 chromosome 20, whole genome shotgun sequence.